GUCAACUACCCCGGACUGAAGUCCGGAGCUUGCAAGGAGGUACGCAGGUUGGGUUGACCAGGGGGCCGGAGUAAUCCGGCAGACGUUGGAUACGGGUCGCUCAGACGCACCAGUGGAUGCUUCCUCAGUCCACUGCUCUGCA
rnacentral:sRNA from 24 species